CAGCCGCCGCGGUAAUACCGAGGGUGCGAGCGUUAAUCGGAUUUACUGGGCGUAAAGCGUGCGUAGGCGGCUUUUUAAGUCGGAUGUGAAAUCCCUGAGCUUAACUUAGGAAUUGCAUUCGAUACUGGGAAGCUAGAGUAUGGGAGAGGAUGGUAGAAUUCCAGGUGUAGCGGUGAAAUGCGUAGAGAUCUGGAGGAAUACCGAUGGCGAAGGCAGCCAUCUGGCCUAAUACUGACGCUGAGGUACGAAAGCAUGGGGAGCAAACAGGAUUAGAUACCCCGUAGUCCCUGUCUCUUAUACA
rnacentral:rRNA from 1 species